rnacentral:rRNA from 1 species
UACAGAGACUGCAAGCGUUAUUCGGAUUCACUGGGCGUAAAGGGUGCGCAGGCGGCCAAGUGUGUGAGGCGUGAAAGCCCGGGGCUUAACCCCGGAAUUGCACCUCAAACUACAUGGCUAGAGCAUUGGAGAGGUAGCAGAAUUCACGGUGUAGCAGUGAAAUGCGUAGAUAUCGUGAGGAAUACCAGAGGCGAAGGCGGCUACCUGGGACAAUUGCUGACGCUCAGGCACGAAAGCGUGGGGAGCAAAAGGG